GGAAUAUUGCACAAUGGAGGAAACUCUGAUGCAGCAACGCCGCGUGGAGGAUGACGCAUUUCGGUGUGUAAACUCCUUUUAAGAGGGAAGAUAAUGACGGUACCUCUUGAAUAAGCACCGGCUAACUCCGUGCCAGCAGCCGCGGUAAUACGGAGGGUGCAAGCGUUACUCGGAAUCACUGGGCGUAAAGGGUGCGUAGGCUGGCUUCUAAGUCAGAUGUGAAAUCCAAUGGCUCAACCAUUGAACUGCAUUUGAAACUGGGAGCCUAGAGUUCAGAAGGGGCAGAUGGAAUUAGUGGUGUAGGGGUAAAAUCCGUAGAUAUCACUAGGAAUAUCAAAAGCGAAGGCGAUCUGCUGGGAUGAUACUGACGCUGAGGCACGAAAGCGUGGGGAGCAAACGG
rnacentral:rRNA from 1 species